UGGAAAGAACCCCUGAAGCCGGGACAAAGACGCCCAAAGCAGCAAAGCAGUCCAAAAAAGACUCUAACAAUGAGUGGAAAACCACAUUCUCGUCAAGCAAGACCUCCUUCACCAAAGGCAGGGUUUCGAUCCUGAGGACUAAGUACGCCAUCUCCUGGGGCAAAUCCUCGAUUUCCUGGAGCAGAACCUCCAUAACUUUGUGCAACAUCGACAUAGCAGUGGGCAAAACAUCUGUGACACGAGGGGAGACCACGAGCUCUCUCACCACUGUGACCUUCACCCAUGGGACCAAGUCUGUGUCAGUGGUCAAAACCACCCUCACCAGGGGCAAAGAGACGCACAGCAACAUCUACUGGGAUUUUCACACAUGAUUCCUGCACACUCUUAAAAUCCCGCGGAUAUUUCUAUCUGGUCAGGGUUAGCAGUCUUGGCAUAACCAGCAGGAUCAGAUGACACAGGCAGACUCCUCGCAGGCCGCAGCAUUGUGUAACACCAGUCAGUGCUGUUGUUUAUCGUCCUGGACUGUCGAGGGAGGCGUCCUGUCCUGUCCUGGAUCUGCGCAAACAGCCAUGAGAAAGAAUGCCGUGCGCUCUGAUAAAUGUUAAGAAAAGAAUCAUUUGGGCCGAAUCCAAACAGACUUUGAAAAGAUGUGAAAAUGCAGCUACAGCAGGGCGUGUCUCUCUCUCAUCUGCCCCGUCUGUGAAUAAGCGUCCAGGCAAAGUGUUUUAUGGUCAGUGGAGGUGUAGAGGGAUUAGGGUGCAAGAUGGAAAGCAAGGGUGUUGGGCUGAGAAAUUCUGAGAGUGUAAAGCAGCAAAGCAAAUGAAGAGUAACAGGGUGUCGCAGAGAAAUUGGUGGUGAGACAGUAAGAGACGCCCAAAUGUUUAGUCAAACCUACAAAAACUUGUGCUGUAAUUUCACAUACUUGAUGGUAAAAAUAAGUGUAGCUUCAGAAAUCAAGGAGGCUGCACACAUAUGCAGGUUUUUUCUAUUUAUUCCUUAAAAAUGAUGGAACUGAGAGAGGUGGAAAGUGGCGUCCAUUGUAACUGUUCUGCAAAUAAAAAGGCACAAAGAGCCACCCACUUGCAGAAGCAUGUCCACAAGAUAUGAAUUCGUGCUUGUGUUUACUACAGCACGCACAGAACAUUUUAUUCCCGACAACAGAGCCACACCCCGGAAACCUCAGCCAAAGAUGCACCACAUCUCCUUUCACUCCCUGUUCCUUUUGUUUACAGGACGCAGCUGAGGGGAUGACACCUCACCUCACACCUGUCAAGUCUCACUCAUCUUAUCUAUGUUUUUAGGUUCACCGUGGCAACACUGUUCCUCCAGUCUCGGACGACGGCAUGAGAGCUCAUAGCCAGAAUAAAGCAGCAAAUUUUAAGCAUUACAGUACAGCAUGUGGCCUGUAAACAAAUUGCCCUGUGACUGCUCAGAUAAACAAACCAUGAAAAAAUUCCCACUGACUGCAAAAAGGCUCGGCCCUGCCUUGUUGAGAUAAAACCUGUUGCUAGUGGCAACAGCACAGAGAUACAGUAGAUCACUAUGACACUGCUGUCACUGUGGACACCAUAGAUAUUAUUAAGUCUCUUCAAAACCACCAAGUUCCUUUGGAUUUUCUGAUGCUUUCAGGUAAAAAAAAAACCAGCUAAAUAUAAUUCUUUUUCCAUUUAUUACUUCAACUCAGCUGACAUGAGGAAAACAUCUGACAAAUUUUGGACUGGUGACAAAAUUGUGAUAAACUAAAAAAUGCCUGAAUGACAUUUUGAAGCUGCAAAUUUUUUCACCUGAACACAGCAGUCUCUUUCAUUAUUUUUAAUUAUUCUCUGCUAUAAUUCUUAAUUUUAAACAUUUAAUGUAACGCUGACACAGGACUCUUGAAUCUGUUCAGAAUCUGUGCCCUGUGGUGGUGCAAAUGUUUGAUCAGGUUCUCCGAUAGUAUACCCAAAUGUCUAUUGCUGUACAUAUGUGUUUCUCAUUCAAAUGGGCUCUGACACUGUAAACAAGGCACUGAAUCAUUGAGCAGACGUCUGUGCCUGGUACUUGAGGCCCCACAUUAGGCCGGAUCACGUAAAUACACAUUUUUUAAAAAAGA